ACAUGAUGGCAGAGUCUACGCUAGAGCUAAAGAGGAUGAACACCUUUGGCCUCACAUACAAAGAAUGUUUCGCUUAAAAGCAGCACAAAAGAACAGCUAUGUCUGCAGUGUCGGUGUCUUCAGGGAGAGCCAAAACAAACCAACUUUUCAGCGUGAAACAAAUCAGCUCGCAACCUGAUGAAACGGUCUCCACUUCAUCAGACAUCACCUAGACACAGAGCUGGAUGAGACCAGCACAAACAGCAGCCUAACCGACGAAGAUGAUGGAUCCAUGGGGUCAGGAAAGCCAGAAGCAGAGGAGCUGGAGAGGUACCUUUCACUGUCCAAUCACUGGAGGUGUGGAGCUAUUGCAUGGCUUUCCUCACAUCAAGAAGCUGUGGAUCAAAGACUUUUUAGUCACGCAGGACUCCUGUUCACUGCUAAACGGUCGCAGCUUCACAGCAAGAACCUUGAGAGCCUCCAUCUCAAGCUGAAGCACCAUUUCACUGACUGAAGAAACAAUUUAUGGUAAAGUGAGCCAUACACAUAUGUACAUCCACAUAGUGGGAA